rnacentral:rRNA from 1 species
UUGACAUCCAGAGAACUUGGCAGAGAUGCUUUGGUGCCUUCGGGAACUCUGAGACAGGUGCUGCAUGGCUGUCGUCAGCUCGUGUUGUGAAAUGUUGGGUUAAGUCCGCAACGAGCGCAACCCCUAUCCUUUGUUGCCAGCGAUUCGGUCGGGAACUCAAAGGAGACUGCCGGUGAUAAACCGGAGGAAGGUGGGGAUGACGUCAAGUCAUCAUGGCCCUUACGAGUAGGGCUACACACGUGCUACAAUGGCGCAUACAAAGAGAAGCGACCUCGCGAGAGCAAGCGGACCUCAUAAAGUGCGUCGUAGUCCGGAUCGGAGUCUGCAACUCGACUCCGUGAAGUCGGAAUCGCUAGUAAUCGUAGAUCAGAAUGCUACGGUGAAUACGUUCCCGGGCCUUGUACACACCGCCCGUCACACCAUGGGAGUGGGUUGCAAAAGAAGUAGAUAGCUUAACCUUCGGGAGGGCGUUUACCACUUUGUGAUUCAUGACUGGGGUGAAGUCGUAACAAGGUAGGCGUACGUGU